rnacentral:misc_RNA from 1 species
GGCAUGCAGAACUAGUCCAUACCUUAUCAAUUAAAAAUCUAAAUCUAGGAAAUUCUUAUAACCGCUGUUAAUAAAGAUUAACUUAUGUAUGCAGCAGAACAAUGUGACAUUACAUUGCAUUAUUUUGGAGAAAAUGUUGAAUUUAUUAUUUUGCAGUGUGUGAACAUUUGAAGGAGUUUGCAUUUACGAGGUGCAUGUUUGGGAUGCCCUGAAGCUACAAUAUCUGAGACAUUGAUAAUUUUUCAGGGUUAAUGCUCUAUUUCACCUCCUGUACUUAUUGGGGAUGUUUAAUUUAGCCAUUUUUAACUUUUUGUUCAAAU